GCUGCCGACCCGGGGCCUCUGUCCUUGGGUCCCAGUUAUGCAACAGUCAGUCGAGGCUGUGGGGCUGGCCCAGGGGCUUUGUCUGUCUCCCUCCCCAACUUUUGCCAAGUUACCCUUCUGGGCUUCCGCCAGCCAGGAGCCCACACUCCCUCAGCCCUCCCACACGCUCCUCUCACCUCCUAGCUGGGCUUCGCUGACUUGAACCUGGCCGAGUUUGCGGGCUCGGGCUCCACGGUGCGCUGCUGCCUGCUCGAGGGAUAUGACACGAAGAACACUCGCCAGGACAACUCCAUCCUUAAGGGCUGCCAGAGGAACCCGACCAGAACCUGUCCAGCCCUGAGGAGGUGUUCCACUCUGGCCACUCCCGCAACUCCAGCUAUGCCAGCCAGCAGUCCAAGAUCUCCGGCUACAGCACAGAGCACUCGCGCUCCUCCAGCCUCUCAGACCUGACACACCGCCGCAACACGUCCACCAGCAGCAGCGCCUCUGGGGGCCUUGGCAUGACCGUGGAGGGCCCUGAGGGCAGUGAGCGGGAGCACCGGCCCCCGGAGAAGCCGCCGCGGCCACCCCGGCCCCUGCAUCUGUCCGAUCGCUCUUUCAGGCGGAAGAAGGACUCGGUGGAGAGCCACCCGACCUGGGUGGACGACACGCGGAUCGAUGCGGAUGCCAUCGUGGAGAAGAUCGUGCAGAGCCAGGACUUCACAGACGGCAGCAACACCGAGGACAGCAACCUCCGGCUGUUCGUGAGCCGCGAUGGCUCUGCCACGCUGAGCGGCAUCCAGCUUGCCACCAGGGUCUCUUCUGGGGUCUACGAGCCAGUCGUGAUUGAAAGCCAUUGAGGAGCAGGUGUCCGGGCUGGAGAAGAGUCCUGCUUUCUCUGGAGUCCAGACCUGUAUCAUUCCAUGAGGAACUUUCCCCUUCAGAUCACCUCUGCGCCACAUCUCAUCCAUGCCUCCUCCAUGCACUCCAGUCCACACUCCCCGUAGCAUCAUUCCAUUGCCCCUCCCAUCCAUGCUGGGACCCUCCUGGCCCACCAAGGCCCAGGCACCACUGUGAAUAUUCUCCUCUGAACCACUAGAGGGCAGGCCAGGCAGGCCAGGCGGGCCCGUGCAGCUUGUGGGCAAGAAGGAGCUGGCAAGGACCGGCGCUGCUGGAGACUGACCCAGCCCACUGGCUGAGGACAUGCAGCGGCUCCUAAAUGUAGAGAUGCCUGUGGCUGAGGGGCCUCUCUACCUGUGUCCCCACUCACUCCAGGAGCACUGGCUUUGGUCACGUCUUGGCAGCAGGGCCUUGCUCCGUUGUUCCCUUGCCCUGGUGGUGGGGGGGCCAGACCGCCUCCGGAAUCCUGCCACCUGUGACUGUCUGACUGCUUAGUGCUUCAGCUGUCCCUUCCUUGUGUCCUGGGGGACCUGCUGGCGGCCUCUUCCUGGGAGCCAUGACCUCAGACCCCACCCACACUCCAGAUCGAGACCCCUGCCUCCCCCCGGCAGAUGUCCUCCCGCUGCCUUGCAGCCUGCACUUUGCACAUGCUCACCCCCAGCACAGUGCCGCUGGCCCCUCACCUCCCCUUCCCUGAGCCCCUUCCCAAGGACUCCUGGUCACUGCCUGCUGUGCAGUCAGAGGCCCAGGGUCCAGCAGCCCGGCGGGAACGGGUGCUGCCUCUUCCUCCAGUUAGCUCCAGCUCAGGUCUGAGACCCGUGCUGAGAAAGGUCUGAGCACCGACCGUGCCCUCUGCCCAGGGCUGGGUCCUGAGCAGCUGGUUUUCCUGCAGGAAGGUUGGAGCAAGCAAAGUCCUUCUCUGCCCUCAGGGUCAGCUGCCCAGACUGGGGCGGAUGCCAGAGAGGCAGGUGGGCUGUGGCUGGACUGGUCCGGAGCUGGCUUCCUUACCAGAAAAGCCUCAGCCUUCCUCUGGAAGCAUCCCCAGUUCUGGGCAAGGGGGAAGGGCUCCUUUAAGGGGUGUGCUUUCCCAGUGGGGAGCAGUCUGGCCCUGCCCCUACUAAAGCCUCUGCUCUCAGCACUUUCCCCCAGGUCCUUGUAACUUGCUUGAAGGUGGGUUCUGGCUGCCAGCCAGUCCCUGGACAAACUCUCCUGCCCCUUUUAAAUUUCACUCAUUUUGUAUAAACCCAGCAGGCUGGUGUUUACUUAGCCCUGUAGCUUUUUUCAUUUUUUCUUUCCGUCUUUCUUCUUGAGUUCACGGUUCAAUAUUGCCUCCUCCCCCUGGUGAGGGGAGGUGCUGCUUUUCUGCCCCACCUGCCGGCUGGUUCCAGCAGCGCUGGGGCCCAGCUGGGGGGCCGGGAUGGGGGCUUCUCUCUCUGGGAGGGGUGCAGGUGCCCUCCCCAGGCUGGGAGGGUUCCUUCCCUAGCUCCCCAUCUGCCCCCGCUGGUGAGAGUUGGGCUUCUUGGUCUUGGAACUCCCUGGCAUUGGGAACAGAGCAUUUCCAGCAUUUGUUGUUGUUGUUUUACUCACCUAACCCUUAGAAAAUGAAUGUUAGAAGGUGCCUGCCGAGGCGGGACAGAGUGUUUGCUCGGGCUGGAGAAGGCUCUGCUCAGCCCUGAGAGUCCCUUCCUGCCCCACCGAUACUGGCACUUUAAAAAGGAAGCUGACCGCACAGUGUCCAGACGAAUUGGCCCCCAGAAGAUGGGGAGUUCUGUCCUGCCCUUCUGUGUCUGCGUGACCUCACCCAGCCUAGGAGGGAGGUGCAUUCAGGGUAGAUUUGCCUCUCAUUCAAAGUUCUGGGGCUUUGGGCGGAAAACAGCCAGCUUUGGCGCUGUUGGGGAGACUCCUCCAGACCAGGAACCCCAGAAGGAGACAGAGCCUGCCACAUCUUCCCACGCCAGGCCCUGGGCCAGGGUGAUUGGACUGAGAAUUUGGCCACAACCAAAUUGAUGCUGGCUGGAACCAGAGGCCAGAAAGCCUGGCCUUGUUGUCCCCAUGUGGGAGCCUUGUCCUCAGCCCUCUUGUCCCCUUGAGCUCAGUGAAUUCCCACCAGGUGCCCACAGCUCCUGGACUUCAAAUUCUAUAUAUUGAGAGAGUUGGAGAGUAUAUCAGAGAUAUUUUUGGAAAGGAGUUGGUCUAUGCAAUGUCAGUUUGGAAUCUUCUUGAAAGUUUAAUGUUUUUAUUAGGAGAUUUAAAGAAAAUAAAGGUCUGCAAUA
rnacentral:sRNA from 1 species